UACGUAGGGGGCAAGCGUUGUCCGGAUUUAUUGGGCGUAAAGAGCGUGUAGGCGGCCAGGUAGGUCCGUUGUGAAAACUCGAGGCUCAACCUCGAGACGUCGGCGGAAACCCUCUGGCUAGAGUCCGGAAGAGGAGAGUGGAAUUCCUGGUGUAGCGGUGAAAUGCGCAGAUAUUGGGAAGAACACCAGUGGCGAAGGCGGUUCUCUGGGACGGUACUGACGCUGAGACGCGAAAGCGUGGGGAGCGAACAGG
rnacentral:rRNA from 1 species